rnacentral:rRNA from 1 species
GACGAACGCUGGCGGCGCGCUUAACACAUGCAAGUCGAGCGGUAAGGCCCUUUCGGGGGUACACGAGCGGCGAACGGGUGAGUAACACGUGGGUGACCUGCCCUCAGCUCUGGGAUAAGCCUGGGAAACCGGGUCUAAUACCGGAUAUGACUCCAUGACGCAUGUUGUGGGGUGGAAAGCCUUGUGCGGCUGAGGAUGGGCCCGCGGCCUAUCAGCUUGUUGGUGGGGNGAUGGCCUACCAAGGCGACGACGGGUAGCCGGCCUGAGAGGGCGACCGGCCACACUGGGACUGAGACACGGCCCAGACUCCUACGGGAGGCAGCAGUGGGGAAUCUUGCGCAAAUGGGCGAAAGCCUGACGCAGCGACGCCGCGUGAGGGAUGACGGCCUGGUGUAAC